GAUGAACGCUAGCGGCAGGCUUAAUACAUGCAAGUUGAGGGGCAGCAUGAUAUACGCGAGUAUAUUGAUGGCGACCGGCGGACGGGUGAGUAAUAGGUAGGAGACCUACCUCAUACAGGGGGAUAGCAUAGAGAAAUCUGUGGUAAUACCCCAUGAGGUUAUAUGAAUAGAGGCAUAUAAUCAAAGCAUAAGCGAUUAUGCGGUAUGAGAGGGGCCUACUGACCAUUAGCUAGUUGGUGAGGUAAGGGCUCACCAAGGCGAAGAUGGUUAGGGGUUUGAGAGAGAGACCCCCCACAUUGGAACUGAGAGACGGUCCAGACUCCUACGGGAGGCAGCAGUAGGGAAUAUUGGGCAAUGGGCGAAAGCCUGACCCAGCCAUGCCGCGUGAAGGAAGACGGCCUUAUGGGUUGUAAACUUCUUUACUACGCGAAUAGAGGUUAGUACGAGAUACUAAUAGGAAGGUAGUGUAAGUAAAAAGCAACCGGCUAAACUCCGU
rnacentral:rRNA from 1 species